rnacentral:piRNA from 1 species
UGCAUAGAGUGUAGUUAGGAUUUUGCAGAU